AGUAACGCGUGAGGAACCUGCCUUUCAGAGGGGGACAACAGUUGGAAACGACUGCUAAUACCGCAUGACGCAUUUUGAUCGCAUGGUCGGAAUGCCAAAGAUUUAUCGCUGAAAGAUGGCCUCGCGUCUGAUUAGAUAGUUGGCGGGGUAACGGCCCACCAAGUCGACGAUCAGUAGCCGGACUGAGAGGUUGACCGGCCACAUUGGGACUGAGAUACGGCCCAG
rnacentral:rRNA from 1 species